UACGGAGGGUGCAAGCGUUAUCCGGAUUCACUGAGUUUAAAGGGUGCGUAGGUGGGCAGGUAAGUCAGUGGUGAAAUCUCCGGGCUUAACUCGGAAACUGCCAUUGAUACUAUCUGUCUUGAAUACCGUGGAGGUUAGCGGAAUAUGUCAUGUAGCGGUGAAAUGCUUAGAUAUGACAUAGAACACCAAUUGCGAAGGCAGCUGGCUACACGAAUAUUGACACUGAUGCACGAAAGCGUGGGGAUCAAACAGG
rnacentral:rRNA from 1 species